rnacentral:misc_RNA from 1 species
ACUGAAUCCAGUGUCAUAACAUCAUAAAGAACAGGUUCACAAGUUCAUUAGCGACAGAUUGUGAUUCAAACUUAGGUCUGAAUGGCAUAGCAUCUACUUGUUCUGAAAUUUUUGGAUGCUUGAUAUGAAUCCACCAACAGUUUUGGGCCUAGAGAAACAAGGGCCUAAAGUAUUGAGCGCGUAUAUCAAAAGAAAUUCUAUAAGAAUUGGAGCUGGUUAGCUUAUAGAAGAGAUGAAUCAGUUAGGGGA